UACGUAGGGGGCAAGCGUUGUCCGGAAUUAUUGGGCGUAAAGCGCGCGCAGGCGGUCAUUUAAGUUUGGUGUUUAAUCCCGGGGCUCAACCCCGGGUCGCACUGAAAACUGGGUGACUUGAGUACAGAAGAGGAGAGUGGAAUUCCACGUGUAGCGGUGAAAUGCGUAGAUAUGUGGAGGAACACCAGUGGCGAAGGCGACUCUCUGGGCUGUAACUGACGCUGAGACGCGAAAGCGUGGGGAGCAAACAGG
rnacentral:rRNA from 1 species